rnacentral:rRNA from 1 species
UUGGUUAAGUUAGAAAGGGCGCACGGUGGAUGCCUUGGCACUAGGAGCCGAAGAAGGACGGGACUAACACCGAUAUGCUUUGGGGAGCUGUACGUAAGCGUUGAUCCAGAGAUUUCCGAAUGGGGGAACCCACUAUCUUUAGUCGGAUAGUAUCCUUACGUGAAUACAUAGCGUGAGGAAGGCAGACCCAGGGAACUGAAACAUCUAAGUACCUGGAGGAAGAGAAAGAAAAAUCGAUUUCCUGAGUAGCGGCGAGCGAAACGGAAAGAGCCCAAACCAAGAAGCUUGCUUCUUGGGGUUGUAGGACACUCUAUACGGAGUUACAAAAGAAAGUUAUAAAUGAAGCGGUCUGGAAAGGCCCGCCAAAGACGGUAACAGCCCGGUAGUUGAAAUGGCUUUCCCUCCAGAGUGGAUCCUGAGUACGGCGGAACACGUGAAAUUCCGUCGGAAUCCGGGAGGACCAUCUCCCAAGGCUAAAGACUCCCUAGUGACCGAUAGUGAACCAGUACCGUGAGGGAAAGGUGAAAAGCACCCCGGAAGGGGAGUGAAACAGUUCCUGAAACCGUGUGCCUACAAGUAGUUAGAGCCCGUUAAUGGGUGAUAGCGUGCCUUUUGUAGAAUGAACCGGCGAGUUACGAUUUGUUGCAAGGUUAAGCGGAAAAAGCGGAGCCGUAGCGAAAGCGAGUCUGAAUAGGGCGCAUAAGUAACAGGUCGUAGACCCGAAACCAGGUGAUCUACCCAUGUCCAGGAUGAAGGUAAGGUAAUACUUACUGGAGGUCCGAACCCACGCACGUUGAAAAGUGCGGGGAUGAGGUGUGGGUAGCGGAGAAAUUCCAAUCGAACUUGGAGAUAGCUGGUUCUCUCCGAAAUAGCUUUAGGGCUAGCCUCGAGGUAAAGAGUCAUGGAGGUAGAGCACUGUUUGGACUAGGGGCCCUUCUCGGGUUACCGAAUUCAGAUAAACUCCGAAUGCCAUGUACUUAUACUCGGGAGUCAGACUGCGAGUGAUAAGAUCCGUAGUCGAAAGGGAAACAGCCCAGACCACCAGUUAAGGUCCCCAAAUAUAUGUUAAGUGGAAAAGGAUGUGGGGUUGCUUAGACAACCAGGAUGUUGGCUUAGAAGCAGCCACCAUUGAAAGAGUGCGUAAUAGCUCACUGGUCGAGUGACCCCGCGCCGAAAAUGUACCGGGGCUAAACAUAUUACCGAAACUGUGGAUGAACC